CUGGCUCUCUCUUGUUGAAGGAAAUGGGAGGAUGAGAAGCCAGAGCCGCUGGAGUCAAUGAAGCCAUCACGCCACCUAGAGGAGAGAACCUGGGGCUGCCAGGGGCAGGCCCGGGAGACCCCCGAAACAAAGCCAAGUGAGCAGAAGGCACAGUGGAGAGAAGCCAAGUGAAUCCAGCCGUGCCCGCAGCAGAGGCUACUCCUGGACUUUGCAUUUACAUGAGCCAAAUAAAUUCUUUUUUUUUUUUUACUUUAGUCAACAUGCUUAAUUGAGACAAAUUUCCGUUACUUGCAGAGAAAGUCCUAGCUGAUGUCAACACAGGGACCACAAUGCAUGCACUACUAUGCAGUUGAAACAUGCUUUGAGACGCUGUCACACAGAGGCAGUGUGACAGCUUGCGGAGCGAGAAACCCUUACUACAAAGGUCAGAAAACCGUGUGCUCUGUUCAAAAGUGUGCUCUGAGGACCAGCUGCGUCAGCACCUCCUGGGAGCUUGUUAGAAACGCAGAAUCGCAGCCCUGCCCCAGACAUACCAACUCAGAAAUUUUCACAAGAUCUGCAAGUGAUUUGUAUGCACGCUAAAGUUUGAGAAGCUUUGUUAGAAUACUGUGUCUGCUAUUUACUGGCCGGAUGACUACAGCAAAUCACCUGAUAUCUCUGAUUUUUCACGUGGGCAAUGGAGGUCCUAAUAACAUAAUAUACGAGAGACGCAGGUAUAGUACAAAACGAACAGUCCUCGGUUUCCUUCACGGCUCUUCCAGUAACUAUGAUCUUGGACAAGUUCCUGAACUUCUAGGAGCUUCAGGUUCCUCAUCUGUAAAACAGAUAAUAAUACCUGUCUGACAGGACUGAUGUCAGGAUUACAGGAGAAAAUGGAUGCAAAGUGCUUGGCACAUUAUAUGACCCAGACGACUAGGACUUAAUCAAAGGUUUUCCUAAAGAGAGAUACACCUACAUUCAAUUCCAUUUGCCAGAAAUGGCAAACAAGAGGACCAGAAGCCGAAAGAAGUAUGUGACCAUCCGGCCCCUGCUGAGGCUCGAGCCAGAUGACCUCCCUGUUUCUAGGCAUUGGAAGGAAACUGCGCUCACGAAUUAUCCUGGGUCAGCAGAUUGCUCGGUCUGCCCCGCAGGUAAGGAAACUGCUUUCAUGGAAGCCUUGCAACAUCUCUCGGGGGUAGCAGGUAUGACCACAGGGAUUCCUGGACAGACUCCUACAUGAGGAAC